rnacentral:miRNA from 1 species
UAAUGGAAAAUUGGAUAA